CAAAUGAAUUGACGGGACCCCGCACAAGCGGUGGAUCAUGUUGUUUAAUUCGAUGAUACGCGAAGAACCUUACCAGGUCUUGACAUCCCCCGCAAUGCUAUGGAGACAUAGCGGAGGUAUUCGGGGAGACAGGUGGUGCAUGGUUGUCGUCAGCUCGUGUCGUGAGAUGUUGGGUUAAGUCCCGCAACGAGCGCAACCCUUAUUGCUAGUUACCAUCAUUGAGUUGGGGACUCUAGCGAGACUGCCAGUGAUAAACUGGAGGAAGGUGGGGAUGACGUCAAAUCAUCAUGCCCCUUAUGACCUGGGCUACAAACGUGAUACAAUGGCUGAAACAGAGGGAGGCGAAGGGGUGACCUGGAGCGAAACCCAGAAAAACAGUCUCAGUUCGGAUUGAAGUCUGCAACUCGACUUCAUGAAGUCGGAAUCGCUAGUAAUCGCGGAUCAGAACGCCGCGGUGAAUACGUUCUCGGGGUUU
rnacentral:rRNA from 1 species